UCCGGUGUCGAUGCGCUCAGGGGUCACACCCGUUCCCAUCCCGAACACGAUGGUUAAGACCUGAGCGGCCGAUGAUACUAUAUUGGAGACGAUAUGGGAAAGCAGGUGGAUGCCGGAU
rnacentral:rRNA from 2 species